UUCGGAUGCAUUAUUCCAGAAAUCAGGUAAAAAUAAAGAGUGGUUCUGGAUUAUGGCUGAUUGGGCCGGCGGGAUGCCUUACAUUAUGCAAGUCGAACGGCGCACGGCUCGGGGUCUGGCAUGGCGCAACGGUGAGGUGGGGAAGGCAUCGAACGUGUUUCCAGCAUGGACAACUACAGAAAGAUGUAGCUGGUGCUGCCAUCGCCUGAUGGGGAGUUAGGACCGUGAAUAUCCGCACUGAUUGGCGGCCGAUAUCGAUUGUACAGUUGUGGGGUAACGGCUCACCAAGGCGACGAUCCGUAGCUGGUUUGAGAGGACGACCAGCCACACUGGGACUGAGACACGGCCCAGACUCCUACGGGAGGCAGCAGGGGGAAUUUUGACACGGCCGGGGAAAAUCCCUGAUCCAGCCAUCCCGCGUGUGUGCGAUGAAGUGGCCCUCGGGUUGUAAAGCACUUUUGGCAGGAAAGAAAAACGCCGUGGGUUAGUACCCCGCGAAACUGACGGUACCUGCAGAAUAAGCACCGGCUAACCACACGUGCCAGCAGCCGCGGUAAUACGUAGGUGCAUGUUAAUCGGAAUUACUGGGCGUAGCGUGUGCAGGUUGUCUGGAAAGAAAGAUGAAAUCCCAGAGCUUAACUUUGAACUGCAUUUUUAACUACUGCCAGAGUGUGUCAGAGAGGAGGUGGAAUUCCGCAGGGUAGCAGCGAAAUGCGUAGAUAUGCGGAGGAACACUGAUGGCGAAGUGCUGUAGCCUCCUGGGAUAACACUGACGCUCAUGCACGAAAGCGUGGGGAGCAAACAGGAUUAGAUAAUUCUGGUAGUCCACGCCCUAAACGAUGUCAACUAGCUGUUGGGGCCUCUAUUUUAGUGCAGCGCAACGGGGUGAAGUUGACCGCCUGGGGAGUACGGUCGCAAGAUUAAAAACUCAAAGGAAUUGACGGGGACCCGCACAAGCGGUGGAUGAUGUGGAUUAAUUCGAUGCAACGCGAAAAACCUUACCUACCCUUGACAUAACCAAGAAGAGAUUUGGCAGUGCUCGCAAGAGAACCGGAACACAGGUGCUGCGUAUGGCUGUCGUGUCGUUCGUGUCGUGAGAUGUUGGUUAAGUCCCGCAACGAGCGCAACCCUUGUCAUUAGUUGCUACGAAACACCUAAUGAGACUGCCGGUGACAAAACCGGAGGAAGGUGGGGAUGACGUCAAGUCCUCAUGGCCCUUAUGGGUAGGGUCACACGUCACAAUGGUCGGACGGAGGUCGCCAACCCGCGAGGGGGAGCCAAUCCCAGAAACCCGAUCGUAGUCCGGAUCGCAGUCUGCAACUCGACUGCGUGAAGUCGGAAUCGCUAGUAAUCGCGGAUCAGCAUGUCGCAGAAUAUCUGGUCUUGUACACACCGCCCGUCACACCAUGGGAGUGGGUUUUACCAGAAGUAGUUAGCCUAACCGCAAGGGGGCGAUUACCACGGUAGGAUUCAUGACUGGGUGAAGUCAACAAGGUAG
rnacentral:rRNA from 1 species